rnacentral:snoRNA from 8 species
CUGGUGGCUAGAUAUGACUUUGCUCAUGUUUCUUCCACCUUUGAUGAUCUUUCCUUGUUCUUCAAUGAACAUGGAUGAAGGGAAUAUGUUCUGAGUGGA